GACGAACGCUGGCGGCGUGCUUAACACAUGCAAGUCGAACGGAAAGGCCCUGCUUUUGUGGGGUGCUCGAGUGGCGAACGGGUGAGUAACACGUGAGUAACCUGCCCUUGACUUUGGGAUAACUUCAGGAAACUGGGGCUAAUACCGGAUAGGAGCUCCUGCUGCAUGGUGGGGGGUGGAAAGUUUCGGCGGUUGUGGAUGGAAUCGCGGCUUAUCAGCUUGUUGGUGGGGUAGUGGCUUACCAAGGCUUUGACGGGUAGCCGGCCUGAGCGGGUGAGCGGCCACAUUGGGACUGAGAUACGGCCCAGCCUCCUACGUGAGGCAGCAGUGGGGAAUAUUGCACAAUGGGCGGAAGCCUGAUGCAGCAACGCCGCGUGCGGGAUGACGGCCUUCGGGUUGUAAACCGCUUUCGCCUGUGACGAAGCGUGAGUGACGGUAAUGGGUAAAGAAGCACCGGCUAACUACGUG
rnacentral:rRNA from 1 species